rnacentral:rRNA from 1 species
AGAGUUUGAUCCUGGCUCAGGACGAACGCUGGCGGCGUGCCUAAUACAUGCAAGUAGAACGCACAGGAUGCACCGUAGUUUACUACACCGUAUUCUGUGAGUUGCGAACGGGUGAGUAACGCGUAGGUAACCUGCCUGGUAGCGGGGGAUAACUAUUGGAAACGAUAGCUAAUACCGCAUAAGAACAUUUACUGCAUGGUAGAUGUUUAAAAGGUGCAAAUGCAUCACUACCAGAUGGACCUGCGUUGUAUUAGCUAGUAGGUGAGGUAACGGCUCACCUAGGCGACGAUACAUAGCCGACCUGAGAGGGUGAUCGGCCACACUGGGACUGAGACACGGCCCAGACUCCUACGGGAGGCAGCAGUAGGGAAUCUUCGGCAAUGGGGGGAACCCUGACCGAGCAACGCCGCGUGAGUGAAGAAGGUUUUCGGAUCGUAAAGCUCUGUUGUUAAGGAAGAACGAGUGUGAGAAUGGAAAGUUCAUACUGUGACGGUACUUAACCAGAAAGGGACGGCUAACUACGUGCCAGCAGCCGCGGUAAUACGUAGGUCCCGAGCGUUGUCCGGAUUUAUUGGGCGUAAAGCGAGCGCAGGCGGUUAGAUAAGUCUGAAGUUAAAGGCAGUGGCUCAACCAUUGUAGGCUUUGGAAACUGUUUAACUUGAGUGCAGAAGGGGAGAGUGGAAUUCCAUGUGUAGCGGUGAAAUGCGUAGAUAUAUGGAGGAACACCGGUGGCGAAAGCGGCUCUCUGGUCUGUAACUGACGCUGAGGCUCGAAAGCGUGGGGAGCGAACAGGAUUAGAUACCCUGGUAGUCCACGCCGUAAACG